rnacentral:rRNA from 1 species
AGUAACGCGUGAGCAAUCUGCCUUUGGAUGGGGGAUAACAGCCGGAAACGGCUGCUAAUACCGCAUAAUGCAACGGGACCGCAUGGUCCUGCUGCCAAAGAUUUAUUGUCCAAAGAUGAGCUCGCGUCUGAUUAGCCAGUUGGCGGGGUAACGGCCCACCAAAGCGACGAUCAGUAGCCGGACUGAGAGGUUGAACGGCCACAUUGGGACUGAGACACGGCCCAGACUCCUACGGAAGGCAGCAG